AACGAACGCUGGCGGCAUGCCUAACACAUGCAAGUCGAACGAGACCUUCGGGUUUGGUGGCGCACGCGGGCGUAACGCGUGGGAACCUGCCCUUAGGUUCGGAAUAACUCCCCGAAAGGGGUCCUAAUACCGGCUAAUGUCCUCGGACCAAAGGUUUAUCGCCCUUGGAUGGGCUGGCGUGGGAUUACCUGGUUGCUAGGGUAAAAGCCUCCCAAGGCGAGGUUCCAUACCGGGUCAGAGAGGAUGAUCAGCCACACUGGGCGGGAGACACGGUCCGGAAUCUUGCAGGAGGGAGGAGUGCGGAAUAUAGGAAAGUGGGCUGAGGGCUGAUGGAGCAAGGACGGGUGAGUGAUGAAGGCUGUGGGGUUGUAAAGCACGUUUACCCGGGAUGAUAAUGACAGUACCGGGAGAAUAAGCACCGGCUAACUCCGUG
rnacentral:rRNA from 1 species